CAGAAUGCAGGAACUGAAGCCCGAAACGCAAAAGCCUGUAUUUCCUAAGUAUUUCAGACAAUCCAAAUAUUUCAUCAAAGAUCACUUCUGAAAACUGGAUCAGCCCUGGGGGUUAAUUUCUCAUAAAGCUACGUUGCUAAGUUUUUUUUUAAAUACCCAGGCGAACAUGCUGAGUCUCAGCCUAGAGUGGAGAGCCCAGGGCGGGAAAGUUCCCGAGGGUCACAGCCCUCCGCGAGGUCUGCUCGGCGGAGCCCCGGCUGGAGCACCGGGGAUCAAGGAGGCCCGAAGCAGCGCAGGACAUCGCGUGGCCCCGGGAAGCCGCGGCCGCGCCGGGAGCCUCUCCGGGUUGCCGGCUGCCGAGUCAGCCGCUUCCUGCCGCGGGGUCCGGAGAGAGCCGCGCUCCGCGCCACCAGCCAGCCCGUCCGACCGACCGCCCGCCCGCCCGCCCGCCCAGGAUGCGCUCGCCUGCCAGGGAAGCGCUCACACCUCGCACAAAAGGCGCCGCGGCGGGACGGCGGGGAGUAGGCGACCGCUGCCUCCCGGAACUUUGCGGACAUCGCACCGCAGCUCCACAGCUCCGAGCCCCCGGCGCAGGAGGAGGCCGAGGCGGCGGCGGAGAGUCGGGGCAUCGCCCGGCAGUGCCUCCGCCUUGCCGGCUGCCGGCGGCUCCCGCCCCCGGUUAACCAGCGCUCGCUCUUAAAGGCGCCCGCUGCUGGUUAGGCCGCGAGGUAAGGAAGAGAGGAGUGGGGUGGAGGCAAGGAAAGGGGGAGGGGGCAGCUCAGACAGGCUCCCGGGAGUCUUCUGCAGUCUAAACUCAGACUCCUCUCGCUCCAGGUCCCCAGGUCACCCCACCCCCUAAAACGGGAGUUAAGUGCUCAGACCCUACACCAAAGAUGUGUAGCCACUGCUGGCUAGCUCAGGAAACCUCACAUUUGCUUGAACUGCCCACACCUCUGUUAAGAUCUUUAUCUUAACACCCCCCAUCCCUGCCUGGGCCACACUUACCAUAGAGCUAAAAUCGGCGCCCAAUGGGACCAUGCUUCCCUCCGCUGAUUGGGCAGCCUCCCGGGUGUUUCUUCAUUUCCAACACUGUGAGGAGGGGCUCAUCUGGAGCACUUCACAUUGAAGACCAGCUUGGACCCUUACCUGGACCGCUGAAGGAGUCGUGAACUAUAGUGGCAGACAUGCCUUGCUUUGACCCAUGCUCACCUGCCCGGUGGCUUCCACCUGGAUUGCUAGAACCACUGGCAUUCAUGAUCACCAAACUGGACUCAGGAAGAACCUGAAGGAAAGAUACCACCAUCAAAUCUCAGUUAUGGUGCUUUUGAAAUGUUGCUUCCAAGUGAUAAAUGACACUUACUGUUUUCCUAACCAUCGUCCACAUUUAUGGCAGAGUGGAGGGCCCAGGAGGCUCGGAGCACUAGCAGUUUUCCUGACUCCACAGCAGACCAGCAUCCAAAGCUGCUGUUGUAUCUGUUGGUUUCAAUCCUUGCUUCGCAGUCCUGUGGGACCACUCUAACGGAAAUGGAAAGGAAGAUGUUAGGCAAUUAGGGGGUAUGAUCCAGCCUGGGCUUCAAACAUCAGUCCCAGCAAAGGACUCUGAAGGUAUGAGUGACAUUUUCUAAUUCAAAGGAGCUUGCACCUUUUAGCCCUGGCUUCAACCAACUUGGUUCUUACCCUUAGGCCACUGUGGAGUACACGGCUGCUUGCAAGAGGUAGAAGCAAUUUGUGUUACCAGAUGGAGAGAAACUAAGCUCCAGGCUUUGGAGAAAAGAAAGCGGGAGGGAGGGCAAGGAAGGGGAGGAGAAGGGAGGAGAGAAGAGGGGAGGAGGAAAAGAAACAAGGAAGGCUCCGUCCUAGUGAAGAGAAUCCAUCAUAAAGCAGUUGGGAUGGCUGGAUCUAAUAACCAGGACUUAAUCCAAAGGGACUUAAGAAAAUCUGUAGUGAAGGCUGUGUAAUUUAUCGGCUCCUAUUUAUAAAGACUAGUAAUGACGUAGUCACCCCCUACCCCGAGCUAGAAUGGAGAAGUUGAUGUUUCCUACCCAAAGUACCAGCUUUCCCACUGGGAAGAUAGCUCAGUGGGUAAAGCUGAUUGCCACCCAAGUCCAAUGACCUGAGUUUGAGUCCCCAGGAUGAUGGACAAACUAACUCCCCCAAAUGGCUCUUUGACCACCACACAGCAGCCUCAACAUGAAUGAACCCCCCCACACACACACAUACACACACACAGAGAAUGUAAUAAAAUUAAAAUAUGUUAACUUCCGCUUGUUUCUUCCCACAUAGGAAACUUUCUAAUUGUCACAGAUCUAAACCAUUUCAUAUUUUUCUUUUCACUUGUAAGUGUUAUAGGAUUCCUGACAUAUCAUAUCUAUAACUCUAGAAGAGACUUUAGAACAACCUAAAACUUCCCUUUCAUUUAAGGAAUAAAGAAAUGAAAUUUCAACAUCUGACUUGCUGGGGCCACACAGCUGUUCUCAGCUUCAGUUGUGUGCCUGCUUCUAAAUGUACAGGAGCAGUGAUGGAGAAUAUGGCCACAGUCCCCAUGAAAGUAGAUUGAGCUGCGGAGAGAUGACCCUCCAGUGGGGGGGCGGGGGGAUCACAAAGCAUCAUGUGUCAUAUAAUUUGGUGUAAAAACAAAUGAUGAGGGGAGAUGGCUCUAUCAGUAAAGCACCUGCCAUGCAUACAUGAAUUCCAAUUCUUAGCCAGGCAUGGCAGAACCAACCCAGAACUCAGCAAUGGAGAGCAGAAAUAGGAGGACCUCUGGAGCUUGUCAGUGAGACAGUCUAAAGGAAUAGGUGAGCUCCAGGUUCCAUAGGAUAACCUAUCUAAAAAAUAUGGUGGGGAAUGAUUAAGAGUCCUGAUGUGACCUGGUCUCCUCAUGCACACAUGUGCACACACUCAGACAUGUUCACACACAUAUGAUAAGAAUAGGCCUCAAAGUAAGUGCUAGAGAUGGGAGUCAUCUUGAAAGUGCUUUUGGUUUGGGGUUGUUUGUUUGUUUGUUUGUUUGUUUGUUUGUUUUGCUUGUGUGUUUGUUUGUUUUUAAAGAAAGUAAAGACAUACAACGGCAAGAAACACUGAAGUAUAUACAUAAAUGGGAAAGCCUUGGUGGGGAAAAGGUAUUGCCUUUUGUUGGAAUAGAAAAGAGCCCUGGAUUUUCAUGGCUUAGAAAAAAGUCUCUAAUAGCCCCAAUAUCAUUUUGCUAUAUAUAAAUCUGUAUCAUUUUCUCUGUUUGUGUUAGAGGCAAAGUACAGAUCAGGAGUCUCACCUCCUAUAUGCACUAAGCAAGUGCUCUACCACACGGCUAAAUGCCUAGACUCUAUCAUUAUUGUUUUAAUUAGACAAAGUAAAAACCUGUGUACUCCUUUAAAACAUUUAUUCAUUUUUAGAUAUCACUUGUCAGUACUUUCCAUCAUGUAUGUUUGGAGUGAUGUAAUUGCUGUCUUACUUUCAGUCAUGUUCAAAGUAAGUUCAAAAAGCCUUGUUUCCGAACCCAAAUAGACUAGAUACUAAACUACUUUUCUGGCAAGAUAUUAAGCAAAUAGUGUCUUUCUAAAAAUCAGUUUCUCGCUAGGUAAGUCGGCACAUUGCUUUUGUGUGGGGGCUAAUGGAGGAGGAUCGUGAGUUCUAGGACAGCUGGAGCAACAUGCCAAGUCCCUGUCUCAAAGGAAGGAAAAGAAACCAGUUUCUACGUGUACCCAAGGUUUACAGCAUAGCGAGAUACACAUGGUAAGGCCUACAAAUGGUUCUUCAAAUUUGUAGAUAAAUUGAAAUUUCUCAGCUCUGACUACACAUUAGAAUCACCAUAUAGCUUGCUAAAAGUAGCACCUGGGACCCACCCUCAGGGAAGCCAGACAGAAAUGAAACGGAAGGUCCUCGGUGAUUCUGAUCGCCAUGACUGGGAGCCCCGGGAUGUCCACACAGCAGAGUUCGUGUAGACCUGGGUGGGAAGCAUGAUGGUAUGUGUGCUCUUUCUUCCAUACGCACAAUGAUCCUGACUGAUCUUUCUGGAUUCGCAGUGGUGCUAUAGAGCAUGGCAGGCAGGUGAUAGACUUCUAACUGCUUUCUGCUCUGCCUUGCCCCUGAAACAUUCCCAACUGUGGUGGAGACUGCAUGUGGUUUAUCUCAGUCGGCAGCACAGCCUGAUUCCUAAGUCAUACUCUCUCCUGUGCCUUUCUGCACGCGCAAUGUAUAGGCAGUCAUCAGCACACGGCAGUCUCUGGACAAGUGAGAAGGGAAGAAAACACCACCGAAGAGUUCCUCAAGAAGAGGUCUAGAAGCAAGAAGCAAGUGGUUUUGGAUCCCUGGAUAAUUAAAAAAAAAAAAUCACUCAUUAAAUUUUAGCUAUUUGGAUUCUGACAUUAGCAUGGUGUGUGUGUGUGUGUGUGUGUGUGUGUGUGUAUGUGUACUCAUAUUGCCCCUUCUAAAUAUAAUAGUGAUGUGCUUGUUGGAAAUUGUAUUAAUAUUAAUUCCUCUUAAAUGUGCAUAACGGUAUUAGUUACUUUUCUGCUGCUGUGCUAAAACACUUUAACCAGAAACAACUUAAGCAAUUUUUGGUGGUGAGGAGGGGGCUAUGGUUUCAGAGCGAGAGUCCAUGUUGCAGCAGAAAGCUGAAAGUCCACAGUCCACUUCAGAACAAGAGCAGAGAGGGCAAACUGGAAGUGGGCUAGCGCUGUAAACUCUCAAAUUCCACCCCUAGUGAUGAACUUCCUCCAGGAAGGCUGCACCUCCUAAAAUCCUAUAACCCUCCCAAACAGUACUACUAACUGGAGACACAUAUUCAAAUAUAUGAGCCUAUGAGGGACUGUGGACUUGCCCCAGCCAGCUAGGCUCAGUCUCCACUGAUCAAAGGGAAGGGCAAAUAUCUGAGUGAGGUACCCAGAGGACUCAAGAUUUUUGUGCUCAAGACUAGCACAAAGCAGCCACUUCUUACUUUCAUUAUUACAGCAAGCAAAAUAUGAGGUGAUGCUCAUAGUGUAAGCAACUACAAGUAUAGUUUGCAAUACACCUAGUGUUACAUCUUAUCAUCUCGGCCUUGUGAAGUCUUGCCCACAGAGAUGAUGAGGACGUGCCAGGAAAUUCCCUUUAUGCCCUUGCUUUCAAGUGAGCUUGUUUAUCAUAGUUUAUGCAUUUCUUUCUAAAAGGCCACCGUGUGAGAAGAACAUCCUGCCCUUGGCCCAUACAUGGUUCACAGUAAGUUCACACUGUUCUGCCAAUCACAUUGUGCCUAAUGGCUGCUGCUUUGAGAACUGUAUAAAGGCUCACCAGACAGGCUAUGAGUGGUUGUUCUUUCUCCAUGUGCAGGGCAACCCAACAUGUUGGAACAAUAAAUUCCUCUUGCUUUUUGCAUUGAUUCCCGGCUCUGUAUCAUUCACUCAGGGAGUCCCCAGUAAGCUAAGGCUCACCAGAGUUUUACAGAACCAGCCUGUGUCCAUCUUAGGCUUGAAAACCGUUUUACAAAAAGACAAACUAGAUUCAUUCCUCUUUAUGAUUAGAUGUCUGGUUUUCGGAUUGGGCUACUAUCUGUAACCUUAAUUACAAAUGUUUCCAUACUGCCUGUUCCAGGAAACAGCAACAAUGUCCUUGUUUCAGGAACUUGUUAGACCAUUUUGCAACCAUGACCAUCUUACAACCCUACCUUUGUUUCAAAGGGUUAUUAGGGCUACCUUGUAAUGACUACCUUGUUAUGUCCUGUUUCUGUAACACCACCCAUUUGUGUGCCAAAUUCUCUAUUUGGAAACUCCCCACCCCUGAGCUAUAAAAGCCUUUAUCUUCCCCAUGCCUGAUUCUGACCUUUUGAACCCCACCUUAGUGGGAGAUGGUCAUGUAAAUAAAUAAAAAAGCUUGCU
rnacentral:lncRNA from 1 species